rnacentral:misc_RNA from 1 species
CUACCUUCAAGCACGGCUUGUGUGUUGAGCACCUGUUCAUGGAAAGAACAGGCUUGAAAUACAGUGACGAUGGCGAGUUUGGAGCCCCAGCAUAUGGAACUUUGUAACAGGCUGCGGCGGCCCAACUCACUAUUUUCUGUCAGUUGCUACAUAAUUUU